rnacentral:lncRNA from 1 species
CUUUGCAGACAUGAAAGUGCAGGUAAAGAUCCCCAUGGAAACCAGGGCUAUGGACGUGUAUUUUGACAAACUGUAUCUUUUUUUCAAAAUGAUGAUACCUAGAGCCAUGCUUGCUAUGAGAGAGCCUGAUCUGAAGAUCAUGUGCAGUGGCAUGGCAAUAUUUAAGUUCAAAGCAUAGUUAUUCACCACACUGACAGUGAAGAACAUGGCCACCAUGAUGAGGUAGUACCUCAUUGGUAUGGCCGGCCGCUUCCUCCCAAAGUUGGCUUCGAAGAUAAAGCCUUCCACUGCAAUAAAUAGGAACUGGGAGAAUGUCACUAUGUUCCCACAUCCUGGAAACUGCCUGACCAGCAGCUCCAAGAACACCACGUUGCUGCAGCAGCCGCAGAACACCAAACACACCGCCACGGCCGGGUGCAUAGCGCAACCCCAAGCAACGAAGCGGCCUUCCCGGGCCUCCACCGCAUCCCGCUCCCGGGCCUCUGCCCCGCUGCCGGCCCCACCACCCCCGCUUCCUCCCGGGCGCCGGUAGUUCUCUCUCCGCCCGCUGCACGUUCGCAAUCACCGCCGCUCCGUC